AGCAUAUCAAUAAGCGGAGGAAAAGAAACCAACAGGGAUUGCCCUAGUAACGGCGAGUGAAGCGGCAACAGCUCAAAUUUGAAAUCUGGCGCAAGCCCGAGUUGUAAUUUGUAGAGGAUGCUUCUGGGUAGCGACCGAUCUAAGUUCCUUGGAACAGGACGUCAUAGAGGGUGAGAAUCCCGUAUGUGACCGGCCCGCACCCUUUACGUAGCUCCUUCGACGAGUCGAGUUGUUUGGGAAUGCAGCUCUAAAUGGGAGGUAAAUUUCUUCUAAAGCUAAAUACCGGCCAGAGACCGAUAGCGCACAAGUAGAGUGAUCGAAAGAUGAAAAGUACUUUGGAAAGAGAGUUAAAAAGCACGUGAAAUUGUUGAAAGGGAAGCGCCUGCAACCAGACUUCGCGGCAGUGUUCCGCCGGUCUUCUGACCGGUUCAUUCUCUGUCGCGAGGCCAUCAUCGUCUGGGCCCGCCGGAUAAGACCUGAGGAAUGUGGCUCCCCCUCGGGGGAGUGUUAUAGCCUCUGGUGAUGCGGCGUGGCUCGGGCGAGGUCCGCGCUUCGGCAAGGAUGAUGGCGUAAUGGUUGUCGGCGGCCCGUCUUGAAACACGGACCAAGGAGUCUAACAUCUAUGCGAGUGUUCGGGUGUCAAACCCCUACGCGUAAUGAAAGUGAACGGAGGUGGGAACCGCAAGGUGCACCAUCGACCGAUCCUGAUGUCCUCGGAUGGAUUUGAGUAAGAGCAUAGCUGUUGGGACCCGAAAGAUGGUGAACUAUGCCUGAAUAGGGUGAAGCCAGAGGAAACUCUGGUGGAGGCUCGCAGCGGUUCUGACGUGCAAAUCGAUCGUCAAAUUUGGGUAUAGGGGCGAAAGACUAAUCG
rnacentral:rRNA from 1 species